AUUGAACGCUGGCGGCAGGCCUAACACAUGCAAGUCGAGCGAGCGGCGGACGGGUGAGUAAUGUCUGGGAAACUGCCUGAUGGAGGGGGAUAACUACUGGAAACGGUAGCUAAUACCGCAUACCAUCAGAUGUGCCCAGAUGGGAUUGGCUAGUAGGUGGGGUAAUGGCUCACCUAGGCGACGAUCCCUAGCUGGUCUGAGAGGCUGACCAGCCACCCUGGAACUGAGACACGGUCCAGACGCCUACGGGAGGCAGCAGUGGGGAAUAUUGCACAAAUGGCGAAAGCCUGAUGCAGCCAUGCCGCGUGUGUGAAGAAGGGCUUCGGGUUGUAAAGUACUUGCAGCGGGGAGGCGUUACCCACAGAAGAAGAACCGGCUAACUCCGUGCCAGCAGCCGCGGUAAUUC
rnacentral:rRNA from 1 species